UACGUAGGGCGCGAGCGUUAAUCGGAAUUACUGGGCGUAAAGCGUGCGCAGGCGGUUAUGUAAGACAGGUGUGAAAUCCCCGGGCUUAACCUGGGAACUGCAUUUGUGACUGCAUAGCUAGAGUACGGUAGAGGGGGGAUGGAAUUCCGCGUGUAGCAGUGAAAUGCGUAGAUAUGCGGAGGAACACCGAUGGCGAAGGCAAUCCCCCUGGACCUGUACUGACGCUCAUGCACGAAAAGCGUGGGGGAGCAAACGAGG
rnacentral:rRNA from 1 species